CCCCCCUCGCGGCGGGGUCGGGCGCGCGGCGGCGCGCGGCGGGAAACGGGCGGCGCGCGCUCGCUGAGGGCUGAGGCGGGCCUGGUCCUGAGGGGAGAAGCGGCGGGACGGGAGCGGGAAUGGAACGAACGCCAGGUCCUCUUCAGCUCCAUGCAGCCCAGAGGUGUCCAGGUCACCACAUCUGCACUGUCAGUGGGUGUUGGGCUGGGUGACCUUCAGAGGUUCCUUCCAACAGGAUUUUUCUAUGGCUGCCUUCAGGAGCUUGGCUACAUUUGACAAGAGGAACAUCUAAUGGCACUGAAUUACAGAAAGUUCUUGAGAUGGGCUGCCUGUUAUCCAGGAAGGCCAUGCAUUCAUCUGACCUCAGCACAGCCUUUAAAGUGUAGGACUAAAGAAAAGAGUAAAACAACGAGAAAAUAAAUUAUUGCACAAGACAACAAAUGGAAACAAAAUCAUUGCAAGAAGAUACCAGACAGGACACCUCUGGCAGUGCCCAUCACUUCCUGAGGGAGUACUGGCUACUGGGUGAAUCCAGUUUUGGGACUGGUUUAAGAAAAUCAGCAUGGCAUUGGAAAACCCACCCAGCAGUAUUGUAGCAGCUGCUGAUUAGCAAGCCCUGGAAAGUGGCAGCCCAUGGUGUAGUCUCCAGCAAGGUAUAGGAAUUGUGCUCAUAGGAAGAGCUGUUUCCCUCAAGCUUUUCAGAAAUUAGUUAGCUCUUCACUGCCUGAGUAGGUGCAAAGGGUUUACAGGUGUAUUUAUUAUCCCUAAACAGGCUAUAGGAAGAGUUUUUAAUUUUUACUAGUUUACCUGAAGAUUCUUUUAUUCCAAGGCUUCACGACCUCUGCUCCAAAGUCUAGCACAGUUAGCAAGCAGGAGUAAGACAGAUCGCUGAAAGGCAAUCACUUCUUUUCACGGUGAAAAUUACCAAAUAUUCCAAUGAUUCAUACUUUCAAGUAAAACCAAAAUAUACACAUGCAAAAUUUCAGUAAUUGAACAUCAACAUGUCAUCAUGAAUUCAUUCUCAGUACCACUGAAUGCCAAGACAAUUCUUGAAUAUCCUGAAAUGAGCACCUUAAGAGCUGAAAUAGACUCACCUGCUUAAUUAAUUGCUACCUUUGUUUGAUAAGGAGUGUGGCAAUUUGCAGAUAGCAAUAUUUAUACAAGAAAUGCCAGGGGUUUCAUUGUGCUGCCCACCUCUCUACCCACCAAACCCACCUGGAUUAUAAUCACCACCUUCAGACAACGCCUGUUGCACACACAAAUUUCAUUCAUUCAAGUGCAUUGAUUUGGAGAUAUUUUUGCUUCCUAGUUUCUUUUUCCCCCCCAAGAUUUAUUUCAGUAGCUAUUACAGACAUGGCAUUUUAUUCUGAGAAGGAUUGUAUUUGUAUUUAUUCUUCGAGCUAAGUGCUUUGUUUAAUAUGCUUGUUGUAAAUAAACUCUAUUACCCCUUGUGGUAAAAGACCACAA